rnacentral:rRNA from 1 species
CAGUAGCCGCGGUAAUACGAGGGGGGCAAGCGUUGUUCGGAAUUAUUGGGCGUAAAGGGUGCGUAGGCGGUUUGACAAGUCUUAUGUGAAAUCUCUGGGCUCAACCCAGAGUCUGCAUGGGAAACUGUCGGGCUUGAGUAUGGGAGAGGUGAGUGGAAUUUCCGGUGUAGCGGUGAAAUGCGUAGAUAUCGGAAGGAACACCUGUGGCGAAAGCGGCUCACUGGACCAUAACUGACGCUGAGGCACGAAAGCUAGGGGAGCAAACAGGAUUAGAUACCCCCGUAGUCCCUGUCUCUUAUAC